rnacentral:tRNA from 1 species
AGAAGUUUAGGAUAAAUAGUCCAAGAGCCUUCAAAGCCCUAAGUAAACCCUACGUUUAACUUCUG